rnacentral:lncRNA from 1 species
CCUGGUGUAUAAUUCUUUUUUAUAUAUCACUCUUUUUACAGGUAUUAAAGCAGCUGUAAUUUGAUUAUAUUUCAUCAACAUAACAUUGUAUUACCUAUACAUACAAGGUGUGUUACACAGUUUAUUGGCUGAACAGGUUAUAGCAUAACAGCAUUAGAUGAGCUUGACUCCAUCUUUUGAACACUGGACAAUAAUAAUCAUAAUCAUCAUUGAGUAGAACUAGGUGUUCUCCUUGUAUUAGAUUUAGGAUUAUUAUUUGCAGGUCUAUAAUCUUUUUAACACUAUAUGAAUCUGAAGUUUUUUCAUAAUCAACAUUGAGUAGAACUAGGUCUUCUCCUUGUAUUAGAUUUAGGAUUACUAUUAGCAGGUCUAUAAUCUUUUGAACACUAUAUGAAUC